GAUCAGUGGCGAACGGGUGAGUAACACGUGAGCAAUCUGCCCUUGACUCUGGGAUAAGCGCUGGAAACGGCGUCUAAUACCGGAUACGAGCUGCGAAGGCAUCUUCAGCAGCUGGAAAGAACUUCGGUCAAGGAUGAGCUCGCGGCCUAUCAGCUUGUUGGUGAGGUAACGGCUCACCAAGGCGUCGACGGGUAGCCGGCCUGAGAGGGUGACCGGCCACACUGGGACUGAGACACGGCCCAGACUCCUACGGGAGGCAGCAGUGGGGAAUAUUGCACAAUGGGCGCAAGCCUGAUGCAGCAACGCCGCGUGAGGGACGACGGCCUUCGGGUUGUAAACCUCUUUUAGCAGGGAAGAAGCGAAAGUGACGGUACCUGCAGAAAAAGCACCGGCUAACUACGUGCCAGCAGCCGCGGUAAUACGUAGGGUGCAAGCGUUAUCCGGAAUUAUUGGGCGUAAAGAGCUCGUAGGCGGUUUGUCGCGUCUGCUGUGAAAACUGGAGGCUCAACCUCCAGCCUGCAGUGGGUACGGGCAGACUAGAGUGCGGUAGGGGAGAUUGGAAUUCCUGGUGUAGCGGUGGAAUGCGCAGAUAUCAGGAGGAACACCGAUGGCGAAGGCAGAUCUCUGGGCCGUAACUGACGC
rnacentral:rRNA from 1 species